rnacentral:rRNA from 1 species
CUCAGGAUGAACGCUGGCGGCGUGCCUAACACAUGCAAGUCGAGCGAUACGGUUAAAAGUGAUUCUUCGGAUGAGUGAUUAACUAGAAAGCGGCGGACGGGUGAGUAACGCGUGAGUAACCUGCCCCAUACACAGGGAUAGCCAUUGGAAACGAUGAUUAAUACCUGAUAAUACUAUUUWAUCACUUGAUUUAAUAGUCAAAGAUUUAUCGGUAUGGGAUGGACUCGCGUCUGAUUAGCUAGUUGGUAAGGUAACGGCUUACCAAGGCGACGAUCAGUAGCCGACCUGAGAGGGUGAUCGGCCACACUGGAACUGAGACACGGUCCAGACUCCUACGGGAGGCAGCAGUGGGGAAUAUUGCACAAUGGGCGCAAGCCUGAUGCAGCAACGCCGCGUGAACGAUGAAGGCCUUCGGGUCGUAAAGUUCUUUUCUUAGGGAAGAAAAAAAUGACGGUACCUAAGGAAUAAGCACCGGCUAACUACGUGCCAGCAGCCGCGGUAAUACGUAGGGUGCAAGCGUUAUCCGGAAUCACUGGGCGUAAAGGGUGCGUAGGCGGCCUUGCAAGUCAGAAGUGAAAGGCUACGGCUCAACCGUAGUAA